UCAUGGCUCAGAUUGAACGCUGCGGCAUGCCUUACACAUGCAAGUCGAACGGCAGCGGACCUUCGGGUGCCGGCGAGUGGCGAACGGGUGAGUAAUGCAUCGGAACGUGCCAUUGAGUGGGGGAUAACGUAGCGAAAGUUACGCUAAUACCGCAUAUUCUGUGAGCAGGAAAGCAGGGGACCGCAAGGCCUUGCGCUCUUUGAGCGGCCGAUGUCAGAUUAGCUAGUUGGUGAGGUAAAGGCUUACCAAGGCGACGAUCUGUAGCGGGUCUGAGAGGAUGAUCCGCCACACUGGAACUGAGACACGGUCCAGACUCCUACGGGAGGCAGCAGUGGGGAAUUUUGGACAAUGGGCGCAAGCCUGAUCCAGCCAUGCCGCGUGAGUGAAGAAGGCCUUCGGGUUGUAAAGCUCUUUCGGCCGGGAAGAAAUCGCAUGGGUUAAUACCCUGUGUGGAUGACGGUACCGGAAUAAGAAGCACCGGCUAACUACGUG
rnacentral:rRNA from 1 species